rnacentral:tRNA from 1 species
GUAGGUAUAGUUUAACCAAAACAUUAGAUUGUGAUUCUAAAAACAGGGGUUAAAACCCCCUUAUCCACC